GAUGAACGCUAGCGGCAGGCCUAACACAUGCAAGUCGAGGGGUAGAAGGAGCUUGCUCCUUUGAGACCGGCGCACGGGUGCGUAACGCGUAUGCAAUCUACCUUGUACAGGGGAAUAGCCCAGAGAAAUUUGGAUUAAUGCCCCAUAGUAUAUAACCUUCGCAUGUUGGUUAUAUUAAAGUUCCAACGGUACAAGAUGAGCAUGCGUCCCAUUAGUUAGUUGGUAAGGUAACGGCUUACCAAGACGAUGAUGGGUAGGGGUCCUGAGAGGGAGAUCCCCCACACUGGUACUGAGACACGGACCAGACUCCUACGGGAGGCAGCAGUGAGGAAUAUUGGUCAAUGGUCGCAAGACUGAACCAGCCAUGCCGCGUGCAGGAAGACGGUCCUAUGGAUUGAAAACUGCUUUUAUACAGGAAGAAACCCUCCCACGUGUGGGAGCUUGACGGUACUGUAGGAAUAAGGAUCGGCUAACUCCGUG
rnacentral:rRNA from 1 species